rnacentral:antisense_RNA from 4 species
UUUCUGGUGACGUUUGGCGGUAUCAGUUUUACUCCGUGACUGCUCUGCCGCCG